rnacentral:rRNA from 1 species
UGGGGAAUAUUGGACAAUGGGCGCAAGCCUGAUCCAGCCAUGCCGCGUGAGUGAUGACGGCCUUAGGGUUGUAAAGCUCUUUCGCUCGGGACGCUGGGGCGAACAUCCCCGGGGGUCGACGGUACCGAGAGAAGAAGCCCCGGCUAACUCC